GGGGGUGAAAGGGCUCGACGGAGUUUCUUUGUUAUAAAAGUGGCAGGUAGGUUUGACGAGACCUUAAAAACGUCAAAAAAAUAAGUGCCAACUUAUUCAACAGACAACCGGCUUUAGCUUACGCUUAAGUUGGUUGUAACCUUAGCUUUUAUGCUGAGGCGUCGCUCUACUUUUUGCUUAUAGGAGUGGAAGCGGUGUAAAAGUAUAAGCUUUUCUUACUCUUUUAAACUUGGGGAGUGGGAGAAAAAAACAGGUUUGGCGGGUAAAAACUUUUUGGUAAAUUAUAAAUUUUUACUCGUUUACCGAAAGGUAAAAAAUAAAAUUUACCUAUAUCUGUAGAAACUUUUAUGGCUCAACUUCGGACAUGGGUUCAAUUCCCAUCAUCUCCACUA
rnacentral:tmRNA from 2 species